UACGAAGGGGGCUAGCGUUGCUCGGAAUCACUGGGCGUAAAGCGCACGUAGGCGGCUUCUUAAGUCAGGGGUGAAAUCCUGGAGCUCAACUCCAGAACUGCCUUUGAUACUGGGACGCUUCGAGUCCGGAAGAGGUGAGUGGAACUGCGAGUGUAGAGGUGAAAUUCGUAGAUAUUGCAAGAACACCAGUGGCGAAGGCGGACUCACUGGUCCGGUACUGACGCUGAGGUGCGAAAGCGUGGGGAGCAAACAGG
rnacentral:rRNA from 1 species